GAAGAGCGCGCCCCCGCUCCCACUUCCUCGCCCCUACGCGCCGGCGCGGGAGAUCGCAGAGGCCCGCCCCAUCCUCUCCUUUCCUGUGAGGAGGAAGGGCCGGCGCUGGACGCUCAGGCGCAUGCGUCACCCCUGCUCCAGCCCCCGCGUCCGAGGAGGGGGCCCCGAAGGCCUAGGGAGAAGAUUCGAGGCGGGUGUUAAUCCGCUGGGUCCUAGCGCUACGGCUGAGAGACGGGCCGGGGCCGGGGCCGGGGGCCGGCAGGCCAACCUCCUCCAGUUCGGUUUUUAUUUCUGAGGGGAAGUAAAUUGCCCAAGGCUACACACCAGUCUGGUGACAUUUGAACCCGGAGCCUCAGUUUCCAGAGGCAGGACUCCUUCCACCCUGCCAUAACUUGAGGAGAUUUCUGAGGGGAAAAGCGCCUGUCCCUAAAGCGCUUCGGGGUUCACGAAGCACUUUCUUCCCGGCUUCCUCGUGCGGAGGUGGGGCUCGCGUGGGGGAGGGGCGUCGUGUUUCCUCCUCCCUCACCUGGAGGCGGCCUGGGGCCGAAGCCGCAGCGUGAGGUGUAGACGCCGCCUCUGCUAUAAGAAGUGUAGCUAUCCUAGAUGUAAUGGGCCGUGCGUGUGCCCGCCUCGCGCGCUUGCCCAGGCCCUGGCCGCCGGCCUCAGCCCCGGCGUUCCCUGAGGCAGCUGCUUUAAAGUUUCCUUAGAGGCGUGGAUUCGAGAGCUGCUGGGACCUUAGAGGUCAUUUAGCCCCCUUCCCCCAUCUUACCAAGAGACAGGCCCGGAGAACUUCCCCGGCAGCAGCAACUAAAGUCCCAGCAACCCCUCCCUUGGUUUUCAGAGGGCACCCAAGGUGGAGAGGUUUACAGCAGUGUAGUAUGACAAAGCCCUCACGCUACCAUCUGACACAAUGGAAGGUCGUUAUGAAAUGUUUUGGAAAUUACAGGGCAAAAUUUGUCUCUGCUUCCCGUGAUACACUCUGUAGGAUAAUUGUUCCUG